rnacentral:rRNA from 1 species
GCCUACGACCAUCUCACCCUGAAUGCGCGCCAUCUCGUCUGAUCUCACAAGCUAAGCAGAGUCCAGCCUGGUUAGUACUUGGAUGGGAGAAUGCCUGGGAAUACCAGGUGUUGUAGGCU